rnacentral:misc_RNA from 1 species
AGCAGCCGCGGUAAUUCCAGCUCCAAUAGCGUAUAUUAAAGUUGUUGCAGUUAAAAAGCUUGUAGUUGAAUUUCGGGAUCAAUUAAUCGGCCGUACCUAUGGUACGUACUGAUUUUAUUGGUUUCUCCCUUCUGACGAACCAUGAUGUCAUUAAUUUGGUGUCGUGGAGGAUCAGGACUGUUACUUUGAAAAAUUGAGUGUUUAAAGCUGAAUACAUUAGCAUGGAAUAAUGAAAUAGGGCGUUUGAUCCUAUUUUGUUGGUUUCUAGGAUCGACGUAAUGAUUAAUAGGGAUAGUUGGGGGCAUUAGUAUUCAAUUGUCAGAGGUGAAAUUCGUGGAUUUAUUGAAGACUAACUACAGCGAAAGCAUUUGCCAAGGAUGUUUCAUUAAUCAAGAACGAAAGUUAGGGAUACGAAGAUAGAUCAGAUACCGUCGUAGUCUUAACAUAAACUAUCGACCGAUAGGGAUCAG